UGCCAGCAAUGAAGCUGUUUCAAUCUUUGGCACGAGUGGUUCCUCAAUUUUCUUCCUGAAGAUGGUGAUGAUUGUGGGAUUUUUGAGAUUCUAUUGCAUCUCUUUGGUGGUCCACUUGUUGAGAAAAAGCUUAUGAAAGCAGGUGGAUGCUCUUUAUUCUUGUAGAUCUCAGCAGCCUAUUGAAACCUCAACUCAAACUCAAAGCCCUGUGGAUUUCUUGCACGCGAAUACCUUACAGACAACUUGUAGAAGACAGAAUAUGUGAAGGACAGCAAUGAAAUGCUUUCAUCAGGAUGGAAACUUAAAGGUAUUGUGAAGUCGGGACUUUUUCACUCAAAGUCAUCCUUUCAAGAGUGCACCAGGAAUAACAAAACUACUUUGAACAAAACAGUGGUUGUUAUUUUAGUAAUUCCCUCAUAAAUCCAUGCUGCCCAACUGGGAUGCUCCCUUUCAACCUCCUGAAGCAACUUCCUAUUAUUUGACAGGAUCUGCAGGACCCAAAAAUAACUCUGUUUUGAGUGGAAAAAAGGAAUUGAAGGUGCGAUGGCACAUUGUGUGUGGCUAGAAGGACAUUUUGGCCUUCAGGCCUGAGAUAAUUACAAACAAGAAGGUUAAAAUCUCUGCUCACUAGAAGGUGUUUUUUCUCUCCU